rnacentral:rRNA from 1 species
AUUGAACGCUGGCGGCAUGCCUUACACAUGCAAGUCGAACGGCAGCACGGGAGCUUGCUCCUGGUGGCGAGUGGCGAACGGGUGAGUAAUACAUCGGAACGUACCCUGAAGUGGGGAGUAACGUAGCGAAAGUUACGCUAAUACCGCAUAUUCUGUGAGCAGGAAGAGGGGAGUCGCAAGACCUCUUGCUUUAGGAGCGGCCGAUGUCGGAUUAGCUAGUUGGUGAGGUAAAGGCUCACCAAGGCGACGAUCCGUAGCGGGUCUGAGAGGAUGAUCCGCCACACUGGGACUGAGACACGGCCCAGACUCCUACGGGAGGCAGCAGUGGGGAAUUUUGGACAAUGGGCGCAAGCCUGAUCCAGCCAUGCCGCGUGAGUGAAGAAGG